rnacentral:rRNA from 1 species
UACGGAGGGGGCUAGCGUUGUUCGGAAUUACUGGGCGUAAAGCGCACGUAGGCGGCUUUGUAAGUUAGAGGUGAAAGCCCGGGGCUCAACUCCGGAAUUGCCUUUAAGACUGCAUCGCUAGAACGUCGGAGAGGUAAGUGGAAUUCCGAGUGUAGAGGUGAAAUUCGUAGAUAUUCGGAGGAACACCAGUGGCGAAGGCGGCUCACUGGCUCGGUACUGACGCUGAGGUGCGAAAGCGUGGGGAGCAAACAGG